UACUCAGGCAGGGAUGAUUCCCAGACACUUCGACAAAAACAGCUCUCCUGUAAUGCAACAGGGACCUGCGAGGCCUGAAAGCACUGAUGGACCUUGCAUCAUUGGGACUGCUCUAAAGCAAGAGGAAGCCCAGUGGUACCGGUGCAGUUAUGCCAGCGAACCAGGCAGUGAGGGAGGCAAACCAGGCUGUGUAUGCAUAUUUAAGCAACCUGGUUCCUAUGGCAGCUUCGGCAUCUCGCCUGCACCAUCACCCAUGUGCCAAAGCCAGGUGAUCAGGAUGAAAAAGGAGAUCAAGAGGAAUGCCUGAAAAUCCCACUCAUAAUGACUGCGAUGGAAGAUGCCACAUUACUGUGCGCUAGCAAAAGCCUCCGCUCCCCAAACUCUGCAUUGCAACAACUAUCAGCGAGUCCUGCAUUGCGUUCCCCAUGCCGGUGAGCAGAAAGCCCCAGGGACUCUGCAGAGGCUUCAGUGACAUUGCAAUCAGAUCUGGGCAAGGUCAUGGCACUGAGAAAGGCAUUGCAGGACUCACAUUUGAGAGGCUGUUGUGUGCAAGCCACUCCCUGUGGGUUCGACCCACCCUGGCACCAGUGGCUUUCAGGGGCUGGCAUUGCUUCCUGGCGUGCCCAGCCGGCUGUGGGGUCCAGGGCGUCAUAUAACACCCCAGUGCCAGCGCUCCCACCCUGAGCCCAUCCCCACGCUUACCUCCCACCUGCUCCAUGCCAGGCCGGGGGGUGGGGGUUCCCACCCCCUGGAGAAGGAUUUGCCCGGCAGGUAUCAGCACUGCCCCUUCCCUCCCGUCGCCGCCACGCUGCAGGCUUCGUGUCCCCCAUCUCUCCCUCCCGCAGGAGGUUUGAGCGCCUCAUUUUAACCCGGUCUCCUCCCCAUCUCGCCAGGCGCCGCUGCCCUGCCAUAAGUCUUCCCCAUCACCAUCCCUUAGUUUUGUUCCUGAUUUAUGGUAGCAGUAGCCCAGCUGCUUCACUAAGAUAAGAGGGAUAGAUACGCAUCCCGUCGCAGGGUCAUAGAAAAGGAGAAGAUGCUCCUGCCAAAACCCUUUCAAACCACUGAUGUUUAACUCUCUCUUCCUUCAGACUGCUCCCAGGUGUUGCAAGCCCCCACCAGUAAAUCACUGUAUUUGACAAACUUGAUGAAGUUUUUUUCUUUCUGCUUUUCACAUGAGAAGGAAAGUGCUUCACAAGCAAUGAUAACACUACCCACCGCUGCAAAUGUUCAGUAUCUUGUUAUUUCAAUUGCAUAGCCUCCACGGGCACGUGGGAUGUGAUGUGUUGGAUUUUGGACAAAUGCAAGAACAUGCAGGCCCAGCCCCAGGUGAGAAAAUUAGAAAAGGUGCAAUAACAUGUAAUCAGGAAAUUAUCAGAACAUAAAAAAACCCCAUAAAAUUCGACAGGAUGGGAUUUUAUUUUUUUUUAAGCUAGAAAAGAGCUUACUUGUUAAAGGCAGUCAUUUUAUACCUGUAUAAUUCAUCUGCAGUAACUCCACCUAGUGACUUUCAGACACUAAAUUCCGCUCUGCCUUCACAUCGAAGAAAACACCUCUUUUUAACAAGAUCCCUAAUGCAUGUUACCUUUCCUGCUCUGAAGUCCUAGCAGAGGAUCUUAACCGGAUGACCAUCAGACAAGGUCCAUCUCAUGCGAAGCGCGGUCCUUGCCUGGUUGCCUGACAGUAAGAAAUAAAAUGUUUUUCUUUCCAAUUUUACAGCAAGAUAAGUGCCAUGCUUUGGUUUUAAAGGCAACCCCACCCCCAAAGAACAAGGAUACCUCUUUGGCAGUGAUGACUCAGCCUAAAAACAGUACUGAAGUGGAAAACCUUCAUACUUUCGUAUUUUAUUUCUUAUGUUAUGCUGCCACCAUUGGGCCAAUUUCAUUUGCUCA